GAUGAACGCUGGCGGCGUGCCUAAUACAUGCAAGUCGAGCGAACAGACGCGGAGCUUGCUCCUCUGACGUUAGCGGCGGGCGUGUGAGAAACACGUGUAUCACCUCCUUAUAAGUCUGGGAUCACUUCGGGAAACCGGAGCUAAUACCGUAUAAUAUUUUGAACCGCAUGGUUCAAUAGUGAAAGACGGCUUUGCGGUCACUUCUAGAUGGGUCCGAGCCGGAUUUGCUAGUUGGUCAGGUAACGGCUUACGAAGGCGACGAGGCGUAGCCGACGUGAGAGGGGGAUAGGCCACACUGGAACUGAGACACGGUCCAGACUCCUACGGGAGGCAGCAGUCGGGAAUUUUGCGCAAUGGGCGAAAGCCUGACGGAGCAACGCCGCGUGAGUGAUGAAGGUCUUCGGAUCGUAAAACUCUGUUAUUAGGGAAGAACAGAUUUGUAAUAAAACAUGCACGUCUUGACGGUACCGAAUCAGAAAGCAACGGCUAACUACGUG
rnacentral:rRNA from 1 species